UUGAAACGCGACGCUGGGACAAUGAAGUGUCUGUUCUGUUUCUUUGUGCAAAUGCUGCAACUGUAAAAGAAAAAGCAGACCUUUCUAGAAGUGGCAGACAAGUUGUAGUACAGCAAUUGGAUCUAGCGUGGACGUCCUGACAACAGAAAUUCCACCAACAGCUACUGGUUAGCAUCACAGAGGGUGGUGCUUCACUAUCCUGCUGAAAAACCUCACUCCAGAAACCACACGCUAACUCGGCUCAGACGCAGCAGAGAGGAUGUGAACAAAGAGAACUCCUUCGCUGCAGUGCAGCUUGGAUCAGAUCCAAAAGACUUACAGGCAGGAGGCAGACUGAAAAGAUGCAGACAAGUAAUUUUUAGAAUAGACCUAGAUAUUAAUCGUUGCUUUCACUGGCAUAGCAUGCAGACACAAACCUAUGAUUUUAGGCUGAUGGCGUCUUUAUAAAACGCCCUUUAGAAGUGUCCUUACAUCAGAAGCAUCAUGAAUUGCCACACCUUCCUCUGGGUCAUGUAGACCUACAAAGAUGAGACCAAGCCUGUUCAUUGUGGCAGCACAGAUCUUAAAGCUGUAUCCCAUGUGUCCUGUGAAGUCAAAAUAUGCUUUAAACAAACAGGUAGACAGAGGAGUAUAGGUCAUUUUCCUCUUUUUACUACAAAUCUGGGUAUCUAUUUGUUUUGCUUAAGCUUUCAGCUCCUGAAGUUGGUAGCUUAUUAAAAACUUUGCUUAUUUAAGAUAUUUUUAGCAUAAGGCUUAAAAAACAAAACUCAGAUAGCUGUCUUUUUUUGGUAGUCUCAUAAUAUUACAGUCAACCUCACAGUACUUUGAAUUGUGACUCACUAUUUUUGUAACCCUUGAGCUUGGCAGUAGGAGGACAAGCACUAACAUGCCAUAGCUCUGUUUGUCUUGUGGUUGGAACUUCAGCAAAGACUGGGCCUUAUUGCAGUGUUACCGGUUUGGGGAGAAAUAUUUAUCUCCACAACUGUAAAUAGGUAAAUAUUAUUAUGCUGUGUCAUACACAGUGAGAGAGACCUGAGGUAGGUAAGAGUAAUAUUAUGAUAGGAAUAUACAUGAUUUUUUCCCUGUGGCAAGUAGCCCUAUUUUUAUCUGAACAAAGGAACAGUACUGAACUUGCUACACAUACUGAAAUCGCCUGACUGGCUGGCUGUCCCAAGUUAAACCCUGGUAAAUAAAGAUAAACAGAUUGCUUCA